rnacentral:tRNA from 1 species
GCCGACGUAGCUCAGCUGGUAGAGCAACGGUUUCGUAAACCGUAGGUCACCGGUUCAAUCCCGGUCGUCGGCU